GCUUAACACAUGCAAGUCGAACGGAAAGGCCCUGCUUGCAGGGUACUCGAGUGGCGAACGGGUGAGUAACACGUGGGUGAUCUGCCCUGCACUUCGGGAUAAGCUUGGGAAACUGGGUCUAAUACCGGAUAGGAGCCAUCUUUAGUGUGGUGGUUGAAAAGUUUUUUCGGUGUAGGAUGAGCUCGCGGCCUAUCAGCUUGUUGGUGGGGUAAUGGCCUACCAAGGCGGCGACGGGUAGCCGGCCUGAGAGGGUGUACGGCCACAUUGGGACUGAGAUACGGCCCAGACUCCUACGGGAGGCAGCAGUGGGGAAUAUUGCACAAUGGGCGCAAGCCUGAUGCAGCGACGCCGCGUGGGGGAUGAAGGCCUUCGGGUUGUAAACUCCUUUCGCUAGGGACGAAGCUUUGUGUGACGGUACCUAGAUAAGAAGCACCGGCUAACUACGUGCCAGCAGCCGCGGUAAUACGUAGGGUGCGAGCGUUGUUCGGAAUUACUGGGCGUAAAGAGCUCGUAGGUGGUUUGUCGCGUCGUCUGUGAAAUUCUGGGGCUUAACUCCGGGCGUGCAGGCGAUACGGGCAUAACUUGAGUGCUGUAGGGGUAACUGGAAUUCCUGGUGUAGCGGUGAAAUGCGCAGAUAUCAGGAGGAACACCGAUGGCGAAGGCAGGUUACUGGGCAGUUACUGACGCUGAGGAGCGAAAGCAUGGGUAGCGAACAGGAUUA
rnacentral:rRNA from 1 species